rnacentral:tRNA from 1 species
UAGCUCAGUUGGUAGAGCGCUCCACUUGUAAUGGAGAGGUCCCAGGUUCGAUACCCGG